rnacentral:rRNA from 1 species
AGUUCAAGAGUACGUGAAACUGCUUAGAGGUUAAGCCCGAUGAACCUGAAUAUCCAUUAUGGAAAAUUCAACAUUAAUAUUAUAUUAUUUAUUUAUAAAUAUUAUAAAAAUAGUGUGCAAUUUUUCCAUAUAAGGACAUUGUAAUCUGUUAAUGUAAUAAAUAUUUAUCAUAAGAUUUAAUAAAUAAAAGUUUAUUCAAAUUAGUUAUUUUCCGAUUUCUAACAUAGAAUAAAUUUAAUUGAAUUUGAUAAAUCAUUGACAGAUUUAUUUAUAUAUAGUGCUUAAAUUCUUAAUUGAAUUUUACAAUAAUUUUUAAAUGUAUUUUUAUUUAUUUAUUGUAUGCACUUAUAUGAUUAACAAUGCUAUAGAUUCAGGAUACCUUCGGGACCCGUCUUGAAACAC